CUGCGAAUGGCUCAUUAAAUCAGUUAUCGUUUAUUUGAUAGUACCUUACUACUUGGAUAACCGUGGUAAUUCUAGAGCUAAUACAUGCUAAAAACCCCAACUUCGGGAGGGGUGUAUUUAUUAGAUAAAAAACCAAUGCCCUUCGGGGCUCCUUGGUGAUUCAUAAUAACUUAACGGAUCGCAUGGCCUUGAGCCGGCGACGGUUCAUUCAAAUUUCUGCCCUAUCAACUUUCGAUGGUAAGGUAUUGGCUUACCAUGGUUUCAACGGGUAACGGGGAAUUAGGGUUCGAUUCCGGAGAGGGAGCCUGAGAAACGGCUACCACAUCCAAGGAAGGCAGCAGGCGCGCAAAUUACCCAAUCCCGACACGGGGAGGUAGUGACAAUAAAUACUGAUACAGGGCUCUUUUGGGUCUUGUAAUCGGAAUGAGUACAAUUUAAACCCCUUAACGAGGAACAAUUGGAGGGCAAGUCUGGUGCCAGCAGCCGCGGUAAUUCCAGCUCCAAUAGCGUAUAUUAAAGUUGUUGCAGUUAAAAAGCUCGUAGUUGAACCUUGGGCCUGGCUGGCCGGUCCGCCUCACCGCGUGUACUGGUCCGGCCGGGCCUUUCCUUCUGGAGAUCCUCAUGCCCUUCACUGGGUGUGUUGGGGAACCAGGACUUUUACUGUGAACAAAUUAGAGUGUUCAAAGCAGGCCUUUGCUCGAAUACAUUAGCAUGGAAUAAUAGAAUAGGACGUGCGGUCCUAUUUUGUUGGUUUCUAGGACCGCCGUAAUGAUUAAUAGGGAUAGUCGGGGGCAUCAGUAUUCAAUUGUCAGAGGUGAAAUUCUUGGAUUUAUUGAAGACUAACUACUGCGAAAGCAUUUGCCAAGGAUGUUUUCAUUAAUCAGUGAACGAAAGUUAGGGGAUCGAAGACGAUCAGAUACCGUCGUAGUCUUAACCGUAAACUAUGCCGACUAGGGAUCGGGCGAUGUUUCUAUCUUGACUCGCUCGGCACCUUACGAGAAAUC
rnacentral:rRNA from 1 species